UUGUUUUCCUAUUAAUUCUAUCCACCCACCUUCUCCUCCCUGCGUGUCUCCCACGUUUAACCAUCCCCACUUAAAUGAAUCCACACCCCCGAUAUUAACUUGCCUUCCCUAUUUCCUUUAGUUUUCAUUCGUGCAUUCAUACAAAUCGAGAAGCCGCGAGAUUCGAAAGUCGCAAAUCGAUCUCGCGAAAGCCGCUGAUUGGAGCAACUUCGAUCGGGAAUCGGUGGAGCCUAUGUGUGGGUGUAACUCGACGACCGUACCUCUAAACAAGUGCCAACCAAUAGCGUUGUUCGUAGGAGUGCAUUCCAGUAUAAAGUAAAGAAGAUGAGAUGGACGAAUGACGAUGUUCGGUAAACAUUAAAAUGUUCGGUAAACAUUAAGAUGAUGUCACGCGAUAUAUUUAGAAAAUCGAUA
rnacentral:lncRNA from 1 species